rnacentral:rRNA from 1 species
AGAGCGAACGCUGGCGGCAGGCUUAACACAUGCAAGUCGAGCGGGCGUAGCAAUACGUCAGCGGCAGACGGGUGAGUAACGCGUGGGAACAUACCUUUUGGUUCGGAACAACACAGGGAAACUUGUGCUAAUACCGGAUAAGCCCUUACGGGGAAAGAUUUAUCGCCAAAAGAUUGGCCCGCGUCUGAUUAGCUAGUUGGUGAGGUAACGGCUCACCAAGGCGACGAUCAGUAGCUGGUCUGAGAGGAUGAUCAGCCACAUUGGGACUGAGACACGGCCCAAACUCCUACGGGAGGCAGCAGUGGGAAUAUUGCACAAUGGGCGCAAGCCUGAUGCAGCGACGCCGCGUGAGGGAUGACGGCCUUCGGGUUGUAAACCUCUUUCAGUAUCGACGAAGCGCAAGUGACGGUAGGUACAGGAAGAAGGACCGGCCAACUACGUGCCAGCAGCCGC